rnacentral:misc_RNA from 1 species
AAGUCGUAACAAGGUUUCCGUAGGUGAACCUGCGGAAGGAUCAUUAAAAGUCUUGCUUAGCAAGCAAACCACGAAACGGGGGAGGAAGGGGGAAAGGAUUUCCUUGAAUUCUCAAGGCGAGCCAAAAAAAUCCCCUUCCGACCUUUCUUUCCAAUCUUCCCAAUGUGCAUCCAUUGAAGUCCAUUGGCAGAGUCAUCUGCCAAAACCUCAUGCCUGAGCAUCAGACUGAAGCUUUUGACCAAAAAUCAAAUACAACUUUCAACAACGGAUCUCUUGGCUCUC